GCAGAUAUAGUUCAAUGGUAGAACAUAACCUUGCCAAGGUUAAGAUGCGGGUUCGAUUCCCGUUAUCUGCUCCA
rnacentral:tRNA from 11 species